CUUUGCUGAUGUGCUCUCGUUGCACGAGAAUCCGGUUCAACAUUUCUUACGAUUUUCUGGUUUUCUUGAAGACUGCCUGAUCUGAUCCAGUGCGUGUGUUGGCCUAUUUGGAACAGAGCGUUUUUCCAAGAAGUGGUUCUUACCAGCACGGCUAACCUUGGCCUAAACCUUCCUCAGAAGUCUGGAUAAUAUUCGGAUUAGCUUGUAUGCGGCCCAGGAGACGUGCGUCAUCGACCCUUGAAGCACUUGAAGUAAUAGUUGCAUAGUGAGAGAUGUAUGCGAGGCAUUCAGAGUUUUUACUUGAAACGGACAGUUUCCAGUGUGCUGAUAUGAUUUUUCGAGAAAUAAUCUGUUCAGAUCACGACCGGGAAAUCCACUUUCACCAUUUAAAUAUGAGGACGAAGCUGACUCGGGUUAGGAGAGAAACCACCCGCCCCGUUGAUAAGCUAGAUCUCCGUGGUUUUGGAUAGCAUUUUCAACCACGAGCAUAUCGAUCAUAUGGCUGUGGGUAAACAAGCAUCUGAAGAGGAGCAAGACGAAAACAGUGGACAUGGAAAGUACAAAACCAUGAGCAGUUUGUAGAAUUCCAUCGAACUUCAGGUUAUGACUUAUGUAUUUAGUCUUAUCCAGAUGCGUGGACUUCGGUUCGGUUCUUUGUUUUUCGGUUCUUUGCGAUCAACGGAUUCUUACGAGUUUAACGUAAGAAAUCGGAUCGAAAGACAAAAGGUGAUGGAAUCAAACAAAUGAUUCAUUCCGCAAUGCAUGUUCUGACAAAUGACGUAGGAAACUCAAAUUAUCUCAUAAUUCAAUUAAUUUUAGUUAUUCAGGCUUAGGCCGUAUAAGCUAUUUGCGGUUUAAAGCGUUAGAAUUUUUGCUAGUGCGGAAAACGGCACAACUGCCUGAGUAAUUAUUCAUAAAAGAUUUUAUCAUUCCGUUGGAUGGACGUCGCCAACCAAGUAGCACAAUUUUCCAUCCGAUAAGUAGAAUGGUAAUUCCUUCAAUAUUUGCUUCGGGAAUUCACCCGACAAUUUCUUCCAGGAAUCCCUCUGAAUAUUCCACCGCGGAGGAUUCGUUUGGCGAUUCAUCAAAAAUUCCUCCCAGAAUUCUUCUGGAAAUUUCUUCAGGAAUUCCUCUGAAAAUUUCUCCGGGAAUUUCUCCAUGGAGGAUUCCUCUGAGACUUCCUCUGAAUAUUCAACCGGGAGUUCCAACGAGAAUUCAUCCAGGAAAUCCAACGAUAAUUCUUCAAGGAAUUCCUUCUAAAAUUUGUGUGGCAAUUCCUCUGAUAAUUCCUACGACAAGUCCUCUGGGAAAACCUCCUCUAAGAACUCCUCCGGAGAUUCCUCUGACGAUUCAAAUGGAAAUUACUCCGGCCAUUACUCCAGGACCUCCCCCGGGAAUUACUCCAGAAGUUCUUCCGGAAUUAUCCUCUGGGAAUUCCUCCGGAAGUUCCUCCGAGAUUUUCUCCACGAUAUCCCCAGGGAAUUUCUCGAAGAAUUCUUUAAAUUCCUUCAUUAUUUCUUCCACGAAUUCUUCUCCUAUUCUACUCCUCCAGAUAUUCCGUUGAAAAUAGCUCCGUGAAUUCCUCUGGAAAUUACUCCGAAAGCUUAAGAAUGGCUCCGUGAAUUCCUCUUGGAACUCCUCUGGAAAUUACUCCGGCAAUUACUCCAGGACUUCCCCCGGUAAUUCCUUGAGGAGUUUUUCAGGAAUUCCAUCAGAAAUUAAUCCGAGAAUUCCUGGAAAACGUCUUCUUGGAAUUCCUCUGAAUUUUGUCCAGGUCUUCUUCCUAGAAUUCCUUUAUAAAUUCACCCGGUUAUUCCUCUGGGAAUUACUCCAGGACUUCACCCGGGAAUUUUUCGGGGAAUUCUUUCAUUUAUUCGUCUAGGAAUUUCUCCAGUAAUUCUUACGGGAAAUCCUCCAUGAAUUUUUCCAGGUGUUCCUCUGGGAAUUCCUCCGAGAUAUUCUUCUGGACUUCCCGGCAAUUCCCCAUAAAUUCCUCCAAAUCCUUCAAGAAUUUUCUAGCAAUUCUAUCGGGAAUUCCUCGAGGUAUUUAUCUGGGAAUUCCUCUACAAAUUAUUCCAAGAAUUCCUCCAGAAAUUCUUCCUAAAAUUACUCCUGGAAUCUCCCACAGGAAUUCCUCCACGAUUUCUCAGGGAAUUCCUCCAGGAAUUCUUCAGGGUAUUCCUCUGGAAAUUUCUCCUGGAGUUUCAACGGUAGUCCCUCCAAGAUAACAAUGAGGAAUUUCUUUGGGGAUUCCCCCGGAAGUUCUUCCGGGUAUUUUUUUGGCAAAUUCUUCUGGUAUUCUUCUGAGAAUUUCUCUGGGAAUUCCACCACGAUUUCCUCCAGGAUUUCCUUGG